GACUCCGCUACAAAAUGUUCAAAAUUCGUUAUACACGUCGAUCACUCUGACCAAUAGGCGUCUUCCAAUGACGUGUAGAUCCUACCAUUUUGACCGUGUACUUAAUCAAAGUAGGACCAGGGUUAAAAGUAAACCCUUCCCAUCCUGCAUUAUUUGAGUGUCUAUUUAUAUAAAGCCUUGUUUUCAUCAAUUCUGAUUCUUUCAUUGGUGUGGAAAAGACUGUAGCGUGUGUAAUAAACAGAUCGGCGGGAGGGUUCUCAUAUCAGACUCAAUCCAAGUUUCAGAUUCAAAAUGGUGUCAAGGGGUGGUGAUAAUCCUCCUAGGGGUAGUGCGGCAGCUGCUGGGAUGCGAAGGAGGAGAAUGACAGGUGCUGGAGCUGGAAGCAGCAACAGCAGCAAUAUGCUGAGGUUUUAUACUGAUGAUGCUCCAGGACUAAAAAUCACACCUACUGUGGUAUUAGUGAUGAGCCUUGGUUUCAUUGGUUUUGUAACUACUCUACAUGUAAUUGGUAAACUCUACCAGUAUAGGACCGGAGGAAUGUGAUGAUAUUCAGAAUCUGGCUAGAAAACGGAGUUGGAGUAGCAAAUGUAUUUUUUUCUAAUAAAGAGAACUUAAUUUUGAGUAA